UGAAGCGCAGGGAAUGUACACACCGCGCUGCUGUGUGUUUCCCUUCCUAUCCGCACCUUUCCUUGUUUCUCCGUCCUCAAAUCACCUUCCUCUCGCUCACCCAGGCACACACACACACACACAUAUAUAUAUAUAUAUACGCCUCAUUCACUGUAGUGCCCUGUUCUUCCUCGAGCGUGUGUGUGCAGCAACUCGAACGCACUGCUGCAGAGUCGAAGGCUUUUGCUCGUUGCGGAGCUAUCCACACACCUGCGCGCACGCGCUCCAUUCUCCCUUUCCUUCUAGCUUGGUGUGGCCGGUCUGUUGCCGCGAUGAUGGAGAGCCCCCGCUCGCUAUCCGGUCGCGAAGAGGUACGCGUCUUCCAGAGCACGCUCGACAAGCGGACUGUGACGACGACUGUCUUCGCUCAGCCUUCGUUCUACAUGGGCCUGGGCAGUGCCUUGGUGAUGGUGCUGACACAGCGCUUCCCAGAGGAGCUCAUGCACCGCAAGUACCUUAGCAUGUCGUACAACGGCAUCCGUGCACCAUCGCUGCUGGUCAUUCCCUUCUGCGCUAUCAGCGGCAUGUACUUCUCCGUUGCCAGCGUUAUCACUGCUGCGCCCACGCCGCUUGUAGGCCAUCUAUUCGGGUACGGGGUGAGUGUAGGUGUUGGGCUCACCAUGUUGUGGUUGCGGCGCGUCUCGUGGUACUACCCUCUCCUUGGCCUCAUGUAUCUGUCAUUUGGCGGUCUGCACCACUAUCGCAAGAUGAUGGUGUACGGUGACAACGCCCCUAUCUUUUACUGGUCGGACUUUGGCGAGAUCUACCGUGACAGAAAAGCGCGCCGCCUGGAGAAGAAGCGGUGCACCGAAGAGAAGGCCAUGGUGCAACAAGAGCGUGCAAUCGAGUAGUGACGAUGGCAGCGGCACCGGCGAGGCCCCCUCCCCCUCAGAUCCUCAGCGAGUACGGCGGCCACGUGCGCAGGGCGCGCAUCUGCCGCACCUACGCACGCUGGUUAAUGUCGCUUUUUCGCCUCUCCCCUCUCCACAUGUCUCUCUGUUUCUGUGCCGUGCCGGCGACACAGUUACGACCACGACGGCAGUGCCACGUACCGUGCCACCAUCCCCCCAUCCGCCUGGACACUCACACGCGACUAACGAAGCGGAAGCAUGGACACAUCAAGGAGCGCUCUCGCCCCCCUCUCCCACUCACCCACCCCACACACGC
rnacentral:misc_RNA from 1 species